AGUGAACGCUGGCGGUAGGCCUAACACAUGCCAGUCGAACGGCAGCACAGUAAGAGCUUGCUCUUACGGGUGGCGAGUGGCGGACGGGUGAGGAAUACAUCGGAAUCUACUUUUUCGUGGGGGAUAACGUAGGGAAACUUACGCUAAUACCGCAUACGACCUACGGGUGAAAGCAGGGGAUCUUCGGACCUUGCGCGAUUGAAUGAGCCGAUGUCGGAUUAGCUAGUUGGCGGGGUAAAGGCCCACCAAGGCGACGAUCCGUAGCUGGUCUGAGAGGAUGAUCAGCCACACUGGAACUGAGACACGGUCCAGACUCCUACGGGAGGCAGCAGUGGAGAAUAUUGGACAAUGGGCGCAAGCCUGAUCCAGCCAUACCGCGUGGGUGAAGAAGGCCUUCGGGUUGUAAAGCCCUUUUGUUGGGAAAGAAAAGCAGCAGGUUAAUACCCCGCUGUUCUGACGGUACCCAAAGAAUAAGCACCGGCUAACUUCGUG
rnacentral:rRNA from 1 species